CGAGUUAUCUGAACCUUCGGGGGAACGAUAACGGCGUCGAGCGGCGGACGGGUGAGUAAUGCCUAGGAAAUUGCCCUGAUGUGGGGGAUAACCAUUGGAAACGAUGGCUAAUACCGCAUAAUGCCUACGGGCCAAAGAGGGGGACCUUCGGGCCUCUCGCGUCAGGAUAUGCCUAGGUGGGAUUAGCUAGUUGGUGAGGUAAUGGCUCACCAAGGCGACGAUCCCUAGCUGGUCUGAGAGGAUGAUCAGCCACACUGGAACUGAGACACGGUCCAGACUCCUACGGGAGGCAGCAGUGGGGAAUAUUGCACAAUGGGCGCAAGCCUGAUGCAGCCAUGCCGCGUGUGUGAAGAAGGCCUUCGGGUUGUAAAGCACUUUCAGUCGUGAGGAAGGUGGUGUAGUUAAUAGCUGCAUUAUUUGACGUUAGCGACAGAAGAAGCACCGGCUAACUCCGUGCCAGCAGCCGCGGUAAUACGGAGGGUGCGAGCGUUAAUCGGAAUUACUGGGCGUAAAGCGCAUGCAGGUGGUUUGUUAAGUCAGAUGUGAAAGCCCGGGGCUCAACCUCGGAAUAGCAUUUGAAACUGGCAGACUAGAGUACUGUAGAGGGGGGUAGAAUUUCAGGUGUAGCGGUGAAAUGCGUAGAGAUCUGAAGGAAUACCGGUGGCGAAGGCGGCCCCCCUGGACAGAUACUGACACUCAGAUGCGAAAGCGUGGGGAGCAAACAGGAUUAGAUACCCCUGGUAGUCCACGCCCGUAAACGAUGUCUACUUGGAGGUUGUGGCCUUGAGCCGUGGCUUUCGGAGCUAACGCGUUAAGUAGACCGCCUGGGGAGUACGGUCGCAAGAUUAAAACUCAAAUGAAUUGACGGGGGCCCGCACAAGCGGUGGAGCAUGUGGUUUAAUUCGAUGCAACGCGAAGAACCUUACCUACUCUUGACAUCCAGAGAACUUUCCAGAGAUGGAUUGGUGCCUUCGGGAACUCUGAGACAGGUGCUGCAUGGCUGUCGUCAGCUCGUGUUGUGAAAUGUUGGGUUAAGUCCCGCAACGAGCGCAACCCUUAUCCUUGUUUGCCAGCGAGUAAUGUCGGGAACUCCAGGGAGACUGCCGGUGAUAAACCGGAGGAAGGUGGGGACGACGUCAAGUCAUCAUGGCCCUUACGAGUAGGGCUACACACGUGCUACAAUGGCGCAUACAGAGGGCAGCAAGCUAGCGAUAGUGAGCGAAUCCCAAAAAGUGCGUCGUAGUCCGGAUUGGAGUCUGCAACUCGACUCCAUGAAGUCGGAAUCGCUAGUAAUCGUGGAUCAGAAUGCCACGGUGAAUACGUUCCCGGGCCUUGUACACACCGCCCGUCACACCAUGGGAGUGGGCUGCAAAAGAAGUAGGUAGUUUAACCUUCGGGAGGACGCU
rnacentral:rRNA from 1 species